GCCCCACGCGGGCGCUCCCAGAGCCUCGGCGGCGGCGCCCGGCUCGGUAGUGAGGGUGUCGCGGGCUGGGGCAGGCGGGAGCUGGAGCUGGAGCACCGGUACCGCCGAGGUGCCACGGGAGAGGGGCGGCAGCUGCCGCUGCGCUCCGCUGAGCCCAGCCGCGCUUAGCCCAGCCUCUGUGCGCUCUGUCCCCUGCCCGCCCCGCUGCCAUGGGGUAGGGGGCGGCGGAGGCGCGGGGGGACGCCGUCAGGCUGCGGCCGCCGGUGGAGCGGCUCCCCGCGGUGCUGGCGGAACGAGGGGCAGCCGCGGCGGGACUGGCGCGGGAGGCCGGGCAGGGGGGCUGCUCCGGUGCGAGCGCGGCGGCAGGCGGAGAGAUGAUCGCGGAGUUGUUGAGCAGCGCCCUGGGGCUCGCCCUGUACCUCAACACCCUGAGCGCCGACUUCUGCUACGAUGACAGUCGAGCUAUCAAGACAAACCAGGACCUUCUGCCAGAGACGCCGUGGACCCAUAUCUUCUACAAUGACUUCUGGGGGACACUGCUCACUCACAGUGGGAGCCACAAGUCCUACAGACCUCUCUGCACACUCUCCUUCCGUAUUAACCAUGCUGUUGGAGGGAUGGACCCAUGGGGCUACCACCUUGUGAAUGUCUUGUUACAUGCUGCAGUCACAGGCCUUUUCACAAACUUCUCUAGGAUCCUGUUUGGGGAUGGGUACUGGACCUUGAUAGCAGGCCUGCUGUUUGCGUCUCAUCCGAUCCACACAGAAGCUGUAGCAGGGAUCGUAGGGAGGGCAGACAUUGGAGCCUGUCUCUUCUUUCUGCUUUCUCUGAUGUGUUAUGUGAAGCACUGCUCAACCAGAGGUUCCUCACCAAGUACAUGGGGCUGGAUCUUGGGAACGGGGCUGUGUGCAGGAUGCAGCAUGCUGUGGAAGGAGCAAGGAGUGACUGUUCUGGCCAUUUCAGCGGUGUACGAUAUCUUUGUAUUUAAUCGACUGAAAAUGCACCAGAUCAUUCCUGCUUUAUACAAGAGAAAGAAUUUGACCCUCUUCAGCAUUGGUUUAUUGACCUCGUGGGGCACUGCACUGCUGGGUGUCCGCUUAUACUGGAUGGGCAACAAGCCCCCAAGUUUUUCCAAUUCUGACAAUCCAGCAGCUGACUCGGACAGUUUUCUCACACGUACGCUGACCUUCUUUUACCUGCCAACAAAGAACCUCUGGCUGUUGCUAUGUCCAGAUACCCUCAGCUUUGACUGGUCUAUGGAUGCUGUGCCUCUUCUGAAAGCAGUCAGCGACUGGAGGAAUCUACACGCUGUGGCCUUCUAUGCUGGACUUCUCCUCCUUGCCUACUUUAGCUUGAAGGGUUCCAGCAAUGAGAGAGAAUGCAAUGGGAAAACUGUAAUGAACGGCAAGCAGAAUGCUAAUGGGCAUAGCUGCCACUCAGACAUAGAGUACAAGACACUGGAGGUGAAGUCAAGCUUUGCAUCAAAACAAGAGAAUGGUGUAAAAAAGCUCGAAAUGCAGAAACUGCCACUUCCUUCAACUGAGAACAUUGUCAUUCUGUCUCUGUCUUUGUUAAUAGUGCCCUUUGUUCCUGCCACAAACCUAUUUUUCUACGUUGGCUUUGUAAUAGCAGAGCGUGUGCUGUAUGUUCCUAGUAUGGGCUUCUGCCUGCUGGUUACAGUAGGUGUCAGGGCCCUUUAUGUCAAAGCCCAAAAGCGUUUUCUGAAGAACUUGGUUUUUUGUUCCACUGCUGCAUUAAUUGUUUUCUAUGGACUCAAGACUGUUGUCAGGAAUGGGGACUGGCAGAAUGAGGAGAUGCUGUAUAGGUCAGGGAUAAAAGUAAACCCUGCUAAAGCAUGGGGUAACCUUGGAAAUGUUCUCAAGAGCCAGAGCAAGAUUUCUGAAGCUGAAAGCGCCUAUAGAAAUGCCUUGUACUACCGCAGCAACAUGGCUGAUAUGCUUUAUAAUUUAGGAUUACUACUUCAGGAGAACAGCAGGUUUUCGGAGGCAUUGCAUUACUAUAAACUGGCAAUUAGUAGCAGACCCACACUAGCAUCUGCCUAUUUAAAUACUGGUAUCAUCCUGAUGAACCAAGGGAAGACAGAAGAAGCCAGGAGGACUUUCCUGAAGUGUUCAGAGAUCCCUGAUGAAAAUUUGAAAGACCCUCAUGCCCACAAAAGCUCUGUUACUAGCUGUCUUUAUAACUUAGGAAAACUUUUUCAUGAGCAAGGACACUAUGAGGAUGCCCUCAUGGUUUACAAAGAAGCAAUACAGAAAAUGCCAAGGCAGUUUGCCCCACAGAGCUUAUACAACAUGAUGGGAGAAGCCUAUAUGAGAAUGAACCGUCUGCCAGAAGCAGAGCACUGGUACAUGGAGUCACUGCGAUCCAAGAGCGACCACAUCCCAGCCCAUCUCACCUACGGAAAACUGCUGGCCCUGACAGGACGCAAGAUUGAGGCAGAAAAGUACUUUGUGAAGGCUAUUCAGCUGGAUCCUACCAAAGGAAACUGCUACAUGCAUUAUGGUCAGUUCCUUCUAGAAGAAUCCCGCCUGAUAGAAGCGGCUGAGAUGGCAAAAAAAGCAGCUGAACUGGAUAAUACAGAAUUUGAUGUUGUUUUCAAUGCAGCCCAUAUGCUCAGACCAAGUACUCUUUGCAGUGAUGUUCUGCUGUAAUAGAAAGGAGCCAUCUUUUCUCCCUGCCGUACUCCUGUUUCUGCCAUUAGCCCAAAGAGUGUCACAGGAUUCAGAAACAUGCAGACAUUUCUUCACAAUUGCAGGCAAAUUCUUUAAAACUUGGGUUACAGCUGCUUUGAGUAAAACCAAUCACAACAUGCCUUCCAAGUCGAUUAUUCUUCUACUAAAAUGUUUUUCUUUUCCUUUCGUUGAGAAAAAUUUUUAAAUUAAAAUGCAACCUGAAUAAAGAAAUACCAGGUUUAGUAAAUUUUUAACUGGUAUGCUGCAGGUUAGUUUUAUUUGGUUUGUUGAGGGUUAGUUUUAUUUGGUUUGUUGAGGUUUUGUUUUUUUUUUAAUUUGUAACAGAAUUGUUAGCUGUGUCCAGAUGCAGUAAGUGUAUUUAUAGAUGGUCUGUUCUCAGUUUAGCAGUCACAAGAAAGACUUCUGUUCCAUCAGGUAUUCUAACACUGUUUACUGCCUCUCUUUGUGACUAAAUCUGAAACCGAAACCAAGACAAAAACCAAGUUAGAUCUGUAUGCAUUAUUAAGACAACUCCCUAUUCCUAAUUACACAAGCAUAGUUAUUAAUUUUUUGCUGAGAUGACUUCUGUUGGAUCCUGAUAAUGCAGUGCCAGAUGAAUCAAGUCAUCUGUAAUAGGGAUGAGAUAUGGAAUGAAUGUAAUUAAUAUCUUUGCAACAGUCCGGUAACUUAUAACUUGCCUAAUACUUGCCUGUAAAAUUUUUUUCUCAACAAAUUUGUUUUCUAGACAGCUUCAUUCAAGGGUCAUCUUUGGGUGGUUCAUCUUAAAACAGUAACUGGUCACAUGUUUUACUUUUGUAGUGUUUGCUAUGCUCUUUUGCUUAUAGGAGUUUGAAGCCUUUUUGGCAGAUACAUUUUGUAAGAAUAUAUGGAAGUGUAUAUUUGUAAUGCCAUUUGGUGGCCAUAGUUGGGGUGACUAAGUUAUGUAUUAACAGUACUAAGUGAAAUUUCACUUUGCAUACUGAGGUGAGCUGCCAUGCGAUAGGUUUCCUGUGAUCUAGGGAAUAAUUACUUUUAGAAUGAGGAAUGGCAGUGUGAUGAUACCACUGUACUAAUUAUAAACAGGAAAAGUGCUUCACAUUGUCUCCAAAUGCGAACAAACACACGAAAAAGAACCUUGCUUAGAAGCAUAUUUUGUAGGAACAAUUGGUUCUUUUCACACUUCUUGAAGUGGGUUGUUCUGGGAAACACUUAUAUUACAUGAAGUUACAGCAUGCUUAUUGGCUAUUUGAAAACAGAAGUCUGAAUUAGAGCAAUGCUACAUGACAUUGUCUUUGGUUUUUCAGUGUCAUUGUCUAAACAGACUUUAUUAAUUCUUUAAUUACUGCCCAUGUGCUUAAAUACAUAUAUGCAUGUAUGCAUGGCUAAGUUUAUAGUCUAUAUAAAUUUUGUAACUCUAGGUCUAUGUAAAUUUUGUAUACAAAGAAUUUGCAUUAAGGUCUACAUGUAUAGAAUAUGAUUAUGACUUUGUUGUGACACAAAAAGGUCCAUUAAGAAUGCUAAGUAUCAACAUUCGUAUUUUAAAAUAGGAAUCUCUUUGAAGAUUGAUCGUUAUUGCUGGACUGACAUGCAUGAUUUCACAUUGAAAACCCCCAAAACAGACUAAGGCCUUAUACAAAGCAAUAGACAGGUUAAAAUUCACUUGUUUAUGUGUCUGAACCAGUCAGCAUUGAUGGUAGUUUUCUCUUAAAGCAAUAUGUUUUCCAGUGAUCAACAUAAAGAUUCAAAAUAAAUGCAAGCUGAAUGUAACUGGGUAUCAGGAGACCCGAAGAGCGAUGUCUUGUCAAGCACGUUUAUGAGGUGUCACUGGCAGUCAGCUGGAACAGAAACCAGGGAACUGUUAGGUCUGAAGGCUCAGGUUAAGAUAUAUGAGAGAAUAAAAAGAAGAGACAUUUUUGUCCCUUACAGUAAGAUUGAGUACUAGGUGUUAAUGGAUAAAAUCAGAUGUAUUUUCAAGGUCAGUCCCCAUGAAGAGAUUUAGGAUGCAGGUUAAAAUAUAACUUGCAACUAUGAAAAGUACUGUCUUCCAGACUUGCCUUUGCUUCUUUUCUUCCAUUCUGUGUAAUUAUCAACAUUUUAUCUAAUGUUUUACUCUAAUAUGAAUUAUGAUUCCUUUAGUAGUGUCCUUCCAUUGUUUGACAUUGAUCCAGGGCCCUUUACUGCUCAGUGGCGUAAGGUUACUGCAAUUUUCUGCCUCUGUGCCUUUAAUUUUUCUCAAGGGAAAGCCAUUCCAAGGCUUAACAUAAUGAAUUUCUAGUUUACAUUUCCAGUGAAAGUGGGAACCAGAAUUCUGCUGUAUCUUAACUAAAGGAGCUGUUGCUGAAUGCCCCAGAAAUGGAAGUGGCAUUUUCCUCACUGGUUUACUGUGGUGUGCAUUCAUUUCUAUAAACCAUUUUUAAUGGAGAGCUAUAAUUUUAAACUGAUUUCAACUCAGGAAUUAAUGAUCCAUGUUUCAAAAUGUACAUGUGGGAGGAAAACAAACCAUGUAUUUCCACUGGGCUAAAAGGAGACAGGAUUUUAAUUUGUUCAAUGUUCACAUGCCAGCACCACUUUUUGGAGGUGAAGUGUACCAUCUGUAUCUGCCUCCUGGACAAGCCAGUCUCAAUGAAGAAGCUGAGAAGUAUUAUGAAAUGGCAGCAGGAUUAAGACCUAAUUAUCCGGCUGCCCUGAUGAAUCUUGGAGCCAUUCUUCAUCUGAACGGU